AUUGCUGGGGGCGCCCACUAUAUGGCUGAGAACGCAAUAGCGUGACCCCUAUUACUUGAUCCGGAUAAUACCGGCGGAAGGAGGCAUUCAU
rnacentral:ncRNA from 1 species